UAGAUGCGAGAGUAGAGCAUAUCAAUAAGCGGAGGAAAAGACUGCGGAACUGAACGACCGCUACCUACGCUUAGGAUGUUGACACACGCGCGUGCUCGACUCUAUACAUGACUCUGUGCAUAUCAAUAAGCGGAGGAAAAGGCUGCGGAACUGAACGACCGCUACCUACGCUUAGGAUGUUGACGCGCGUGUGUGCGUGAGUCUAUACAUGACUCUGUGCAUAUCAAUAAGCGGAGGAAAAGGCUGCGGAACUGAACGAUCGCUACCUACGCUUAGGAUGUUGACACACGCGCGUGCUCGAUGGUAGUCUAUACAUGACUCUGUGCAUAUCAAUAAGCGGAGGAAAAGGAGUAUACCUACGCUUAGGAUGUUGACGCGCGUGUGUGCGUGAGUCUAUACAUGACUCUGCGCAUAUCAAUAAGCGGAGGAAAAGGGAAUCGGUCGCCCCAGUACCUACGCUUAGGAUGUUGACGCAUGAGAUAUACGCAUGACACACUGCAUAUCAAUAAGCGGAGGAAAAGGGUGUUGGCCGUCCUUCUACCUACGCUUAGGAUGUUGACACACGCGCGUGCUCGAUGAUGGUCUAUACAUGACUCUGUGCAUAUCAAUAAGCGGAGGAAAAGAGGGCUAUUACCUACGCUUAGGAUGUUGACGAGACUGUCGAUCUCAUCUAUACAUGACUCUGUGCAUAUCAAUAAGCGGAGGAAAAGGAGUAUACCUACGCUUAGGAUGUUGACGGCAUGAGAUAUACGC
rnacentral:rRNA from 1 species